AUAGAAAGAGUGAUAUGGGCGAGAGCAGAGGGUGGGUUAGAGAGAGAAACAUAGAGAGAACAAGGAUGAAUUUUUUUAUUUAAAGAGCUAAAAAGGCCAUGAAAGCUAAAUUGUUUAAAUGAAGGGAGGAGAGAGAAGAAACCAAAGUAAAUGAAACCUGGUACUUGAUUACUUUGAUCAAAUCGCUGAUAAGAGAGAGAAUAACCAAAAUCAAAUGAGGACUAAUAUUUCUUAUUUUUCUCAGAUCAGCUGCAUAAGAGAGACAAAGAACCUAAUUCAAAGCUGAUGUGUUCCCAUGUCUCCUGGUUCAGAUUUCGAGUUCAUCAAAAGCUGAACUUUGGGCAUGGAUCAACUGAAGAAUAGGAAUGAGAAGUAACCAUAUUCAAAUUUAAAGCAUUGAGAAUUAUAAUACUGCAAAUUUUACAAAUGAAAAACAUCAGAAUUUAUGGAGAUCCAAAUCAAAGAUUACAGAACAAAUGAAAAAAGAUGAGAAUAUAAGAAGUAUAGAGAAUAAAACACAUAAUGCAAUAGAAGAACUCAAUGCAUAGAAAAUGACAUAGGGGGCAGAAUUAAGCUCUCAAGCCUAUGAAUGAUGCAGUGUGCUACUUGUCUUCUAUAUACCAUUCCAUAAGCGAGCAUAUCUCUCUUAUCCAAUAAGCGGCCAUAUCUCUCCAAUCAUAUAAGCGAGCAUCUCUCUCUAAACCAUCCCCAAUCAGUUCAAGGAAGCUUGCUAGUUAGCCAGUGGAGAAGGUGGAGAGGGCAAAUAGUGAAACCCAAAGGUAAAGUGGCAGGUUACAGAGAGGAACACAGAGAGAAGAGGGGAACUUGCAAAUGAAUGUUUUGCGUGAGAACAUAGGAAAAGAGGGAGGCUUCAAGGGUGGGUCAGAGGUCAAGUUAGAGAGAGAAAUUGGUGAACAUGGGGUACAACAAUGCACCGGAUGGGCCCUAACUUUUAAUAUUUUUUCUAUGGCCUACAACUCGAAAA
rnacentral:lncRNA from 1 species